CCAUUACAUUCCGCCUUCACCAAUUGUUGGGUUUGUCCAAAGAGCAAUCACAUGAAGACGCACACGAUCAGAAAUUUAUUUGGCCAAGGGCGCGUAUCGUGUCCUUUUCUUUUUUUUCUUUUGAACUUAGAACUCACUUUACAAACUUGAUCUCAACCUAGGCUAACUACCUGCGUAUUUAUAGGCACACAAGUACUAAUCCUAGUCGGAGACCAUGACCAAACCUACACGGGCUAGUGUCCAAUUCAAACUCACCUAAACUCACACAUGGCAGCACUUACCAAAACCCAAACCUACUACUAUUCGGACUUUGGACAAGGUUAAUUCCUAACACCAAUCUCCGGAACUGCCACUCUGACAUCCAACUCUUGCACACAAGCCACUACGUCAUAUAACCCGGACAUCCCAUAGCCCCUAGCCACGGGUAUCACCAACACACUGUCGUAAACUUCGCUUUUGAGGCCGCUACCCCGACAUCCAGCUUACAAGACCAACCAUG
rnacentral:lncRNA from 1 species